GACGAACGCUGGCGGCGUGCCUAACACAUGCAAGUCGAACGAGAUCCAUGGGAGCUUGCUCCCGGAAGAUCUAGUGGCGAACGGGUGAGUAACACGUGAGAAACCUGCCCUGGAGUGGGGAAUAACUCGGGGAAACUCGAGCUAAUACCGCAUACCCUCGGAUGGUCGCAUGGCCGACCGAGGAAAGAUUUAUCGCUCUAGGAGGGUCUCGCGGCCUAUCAGCUAGUUGGUGGGGUAACGGCCUACCAAGGCAACGACGGGUAGCUGGUUUGAGAGAACGAUCAGCCACACUGGGACUGAGACACGGCCCAGACUCCUACGGGAGGCAGCAGUGGGGAAUCUUGCGCAAUGGGCGAAAGCCUGACGCAGCAACGCCGCGUGCGGGAUGACGGCCUUCGUGGUUGUAAACCGCUUUCAGCAGGGACGAAAAUAGACGGUACCUGCAGAAGAAGCCCGGCUAACUACGUGCCAGCAGCCGCGGUAAU
rnacentral:rRNA from 1 species